GGUAAUACGGAGGGGGUUAGCGUUGUUCGGAAUUACUGGGCGUAAAGCGUACGUAGGCGGAUUAGUCAGUUAGAGGUGAAAUCCCGGGGCUCAACCCCGGAACUGCCUUUAAUACUGCUAGUCUUGAGUUCGAGAGAGGUGAGUGGAAUUCGAGUGUAGAGGUGAAAUUCGUAGAUAUUCGGAGGAACACCGGUGGCGAAGGCGGCUCACUGGCUCGAUACUGACGCUGAGGUACGAAAGCAUGGGUAGUGAAGAGGAUUAGAUACCCUCGUAGUCCAUGCCGUAAACGAUGUGUGUUAGACGUUGGAAAUUUAUUUUCAGUGUCGCAGCGAAAGCGAUAAACACACCGCCUGGGGAGUACGACCGCAAGGUUAAAACUCAAAUGAAUUGACGGGGACCCGCACAAGUAGUGGAGCAUGUGGUUUAAUUCGAAGAUACGCGCAGAACCUUACCAACACUUGACAUGUUCGUCGCGACUUUAAGAGAUUAAAGUUUUCGGUUCGGCCGGACGAAACACAGGUGCUGCAUGGCU
rnacentral:rRNA from 1 species